rnacentral:lncRNA from 1 species
UAUGAAGGAGGAGCUUGAGUAAGAUGGUAACCUGCAAAUUCAAAUAGAAAUCCCCAAUGAUGCUAAUUGUUCAGGAGAGUCAAGCCCUUCAAAAGCAGAAGAAUUUAUUUCAUAUCUAUAGCUCUAUUGAAAUCCCUGUAGGCAAUUCACUUCUUUCUCAGGAUGGCUUACACUCAAGUGUUCUUCACCCACACCCUUCUCUUCUGUCCCUUCCUUAACACUUUGUCCUUUUUGGAUUUUUAAUGUAUUGUCAGUAGAAACAGCUUUGGCUCUACCACUAGAGAAAAUAACCUUACUCUUAUUGUAGUGUCCUGACAUAGACAACUGAGCUUGACUGUCCUGCCAGGAGAACUUCAGAGUUACCUGGAAAUUUCUCAGGUUUGAACCUGGAAUUUUGAAGGUUUCAUUUUGAAAGUUUUUUUACCGUAUUUUUUGAUGAGGAAUAUCCAUAUUAUAUUACAGAUUCUAUUCUUACUGUAAAGUUACUAAAAUUCCACCUGUGUAGUAAAAGCUUUGUAGAAAACACAUUGGUACUUCCUUAUUCCUGAGAAAACUCCUUAUGUAAGAGUAAUUGACAUUUUACCAAAUAUUUGAGAAACCCAAAGUUAUUUAUUCUUUGGUGAUAUAUUUUCAGGAUAUACCUAGAAGGAAUUAAAUGUAAUCUUUGAAAUUGUGUAUAUUUUGCUAUUUAUUUUUAAAUUCCUUAAGAGACUCUACUACUGAAAAAGCUAUUUAUGAAAGAAAAAAAAAUGCUUAUCUUUAAUUUCAAUAUUUAAACUGAAAAGAGGAAAAAUGGGCAGUGUUAAGCAAAAUUUUAACUUCUCUACUGUAGGAUGCCUGCAAAUCAUCAAGUCUGCCUGUGGUAGGACAGGAAAAAAACAUACAGCAUGAAUUAGUCUUUGACUUGAAUUAUUAUUGUAUACUUCCUGCUAAUUGAUUUUUACCAAAGAGAGAAGAUGGCUUACAAUAUUGCUUUUUUGCACUUGUGCCUGUGUAAUUUCCUCUUUCAUUGUAGUGUUACAUGGGUUGUACAUUACAUAUAAAUGAUUAACUGAAUUUUUUACUUCUGUUAUCAUUUGCUUUGAUCAUGUUGCAGAACUGUUCAGAUUUUAACUACUGCUACCACUGUUACUACUGACUCUAUUCUUGAAGGAGUUUUAAUAAACGUACUGUAAUUGGUGUCUCAGUUAUGAGAUGCAGCCAAUCUAUUCUUGAAAUGUAGAUGUUUGGUCGGUUACUGUGCACAACUAUUUUUGAUGUAUGUGGCAGGCUCUAGCUAAGGAAAUCUAAAAAGUUAAAAUGUAGAAUAUGCUGUUGUUCUGUUACAUUAUUAUUCUGUGCGAGAUAGGCUCAAGACCAUACUAAGAUAUAAACUGAAUAUUGUCUGUAAAAUUAUAUUUUUAGAUGUGUAUUUUAUAGAUCUGAAAUAAAUUGACAUGUUCUAUUC